UACGAAGGGGGCGAGCGUUGUUCGGAAUUACUGGGCGUAAAGGGCGCGUAGGCGGCCGAUCAAGUCAGAUGUGAAAGUCCUGGGCUUAACCUGGGGACUGCAUUUGAUACUGAUUGGCUUGAAUGCAGGAGAGGAUAGCGGAAUUCCCAGUGUAGAGGUGAAAUGCGUAGAUAUCGGGAGGAACACCUGUGGCGAAAGCGGCGCACUGGACCACAACUGACGCUGAGGCGCGAAAGCGUGGGGAGCAAACAGG
rnacentral:rRNA from 1 species